rnacentral:tRNA from 1 species
AGAGAUUUAGGCUAAAAAGACCGAGGACCUUCAAAGUCCCAAGUAAGUGAAACUCACUUAAUCUCUG